UACGUAGGGCGCAAGCGUUGUCCGGAAUUAUUGGGCGUAAAGAGCUCGUAGGCGGUUUGUCGCGUCUGCUGUGAAAACUCAAGGCUCAACCGUGGGCUUGCAGUGGGUACGGGCAGACUAGAGUGCGGUAGGGGUGACUGGAAUUCCUGGUGUAGCGGUGGAAUGCGCAGAUAUCAGGAGGAACACCGAUGGCGAAGGCAGGUCACUGGGCCGCAACUGACGCUGAGGAGCGAAAGCAUGGGGAGCGAACAGG
rnacentral:rRNA from 1 species